CAAUAGCGUAUAUUAAAGUUGUUGCAGUUAAAAAGCUCGUAGUUGGAUUUCUGGUAGGAGUGACCGUGCCAGACUUGAUUGUCUGUGUAUUGUGUUGUCUCCAGCCAUCCUUGUGGAGAACUUUUCUUGCAUUAAUUUGUAGGGAUUGGGACCCGCAUCGUUUACUGUGAAAAAAUUAGAGUGUUUAAAGCAGGCAAUCGCUUGAAUACAUUAGCAUGGAAUAAUACGAUAGGACUUUGGUACUAUUUUGUUGGUUUGCAUACCAAAUUAAUGAUCAACAGGAACAGUUUGAGGAUAUUCGUAUGAACAUGUCAGAGGUGAAAUUCUUGGAUUUUGAUCAGACGAACUACUGCGAAAGCAUUUAUCAAGGAUGUUUUCAUUA
rnacentral:rRNA from 1 species